rnacentral:rRNA from 1 species
UUUAAAUAGCUGCAGUAUUUUAACUGUACAAAGGUAGCAUAAUAAUUAGUCUUUUAAUUGGGGUCUGGAAUGAAUGGUUUAACAAAUGAAAAUCUUUAUUAUUUAAACAAAUUUAAAUUUAAAUUUUAAGUUAAAAAGCUUAAAUUUUUAAAUGGGACGAUAAGACCCUAUAGAUCUUUAAUUUUCUGUAAUUAAUUUUUAUUUAGAAAAUUUUUAAGUUUAAUUUAUAUAAAAUUUUUGUUGGGGUGAUUUUAAAAAUUUUAAAACUUUUAAUUUUAUAUUCAUAAAUUUAUGGUUUUUAUUGAUCCUUAAAUUUAGAUUAAAAAAUUUAGAUACCUUAGGGAUAACAGCAUAAUAAAUUUGGAUAGUUCAUAUUGAUAAAUUUGUUUAUGACCUCGAUGUUGAAUUAAUUUUAAACUUUUAAGUAGAAAUAAAAGGGAUUAGGUCUGUUCGACCUUUAAUAAUUUACA